rnacentral:rRNA from 1 species
AUACGGAGGGUGCAAGCGUUGUUCGGAAUUACUGGGUGUAAAGGGUGCGCAGGCGGCCGUGCAAGUCAGCGGUGAAAGCCCGGGGCUCAACCCCGGAAGUGCCGUUGAUACUGCGUGGCUGGAAUGCGGUCGAGGCGGGCGGAACGUGGCGGGUAGCGGGGAAAUGCGUGGAUAUGCCACAGAACGCCGAUAGCGGAGGCAGCUCGCCAGGCCUGCAUUGACGCUCGGGCACGAAAGCGUGGGGAUCGAACAGGAUUAGAUACCCUGGUAGUCCACGCCGUAAACGAUGGGCGCUCGUCGUCGGCGACAGACAGUCGGCGGCCAAGCGAAAGCGAUAAGCGCCCCACCUGGGGAGUACGGUCGCAAGGCUGAAACUCAAAUGAAUUGACGGGG